rnacentral:rRNA from 1 species
GAUGAACGCUGGCGGCGUGCCUAAUACAUGCAAGUCGAGCGAACGGACGAGAAGCUUGCUUCUCUGAUGUUAGCGGCGGACGGGUGAGUAACACGUGGAUAACCUACCUAUAAGACUGGGAUAACUUCGGGAAACCGGAGCUAAUACCGGAUAAUAUUUUGAACCGCAUGGUUCAAAAGUGAAAGACGGUCUUGCUGUCACUUAUAGAUGGAUCCGCGCUGCAUUAGCUAGUUGGUAAGGUAACGGCUUACCAAGGCAACGAUGCAUAGCCGACCUGAGAGGGUGAACGGCCACACUGGAACUGAGACACGGUCCAGACUCCUACGGGAGGCAGCAGUAGGGAAUCUUCCGCAAUGGGCGAAAGCCUGACGGAGCAACGCCGCGUGAGUGAUGAAGGUCUUCUGAUCGUAAAACUCUGUUAUUAGGGAAGAACAUAUGUGUAAGUAACUGUGCACAUCUUGACGGUACCUAAUCAGAAAGCCACGGCUAACUACGUG